rnacentral:sRNA from 1 species
CAUAUAAGACAUGAAUUCCAUGAGUAAAAUCAAACUUCUGUGGCAAGGAAACCUCUCUGAGUCUCGAUUUCCUCCGUGGUAAAAAGGAGAGGGUUAAACCACAGGGUCCCGAGGGUCCCUUCCAGCUGUCACAUUCUGGAGCGUAUGAGAUGAGAUUCUUCUACUCAAAACAAAAGAGCCAACAGAACAGAAGAAAAUGUUUCAGACGGUUCCCCAAAUGCCGGUUCUGUGGAGCAGACGCCCAAGAAGCCUGGCCUCAGAAGACGUCAAACGUAAACAGCUCGAAUUAAGAAUAUGUUUCCUUGUUUAUCAGAUACAUCACUGCUUGAUGAAGCAAGGAAGAUAUACAUGAAAAUUUUAAAAAUACAUAUCGCUGACUUCAUGGACAUCCUGUAUAAGCACUGAAAAACAACAACACAAUAACACUAAAAUUUUAGGCACUCUUAAA